UACGAAGGGGGGCUAGCGUUGUUCGGAAUUACUGGGCGUAAAGCGCGCGCAGGCGGUUUCUCAAGUCAGUGGUGAAAGCCCGGAGCUCAACUCCGGAACUGCCAUUGAAACUGUGAAACUUGAGGACGAGAGAGGUGAGUGGAAUUCCCAGUGUAGAGGUGAAAUUCGUAGAUAUUGGGAAGAACACCGGUGGCGAAGGCGGCUCACUGGCUGUUCUGACGCUCGGCGCGAACG
rnacentral:rRNA from 1 species